CACGUAGGCACCAAGCGUUGUCCGGAUUUACUGGGCGUAAAGAGCGCGCAGGCGGUCGAUCAAGUCGAGUGUGAAAGCCCCCGGCUCAACUGGGGAGGGUCAUUCGAUACUGAUCGACUCGAAGGCAGGAGAGGGUAGUGGAAUUCCCGGUGUAGUGGUGAAAUGCGUAGAUAUCGGGAGGAACACCAGUGGCGAAGGCGACUACCUGGCCUGUUCUUGACGCUGAGGCGCGAAAGCUAGGGGAGCAAACGGG
rnacentral:rRNA from 1 species